rnacentral:rRNA from 1 species
CAGGCCUAACACAUGCAAGUCGAACGAAGGCUUCGGCCUUAGUGGCGCACGGGUGCGUAACGCGUGGGAAUCUGCCCUUGGGUUCGGAAUAACAGCGGGAAACUGCUGCUAAUACCGGAUGAUGACGUAAGUCCAAAGAUUUAUCGCCCAAGGAUGAGCCCGCGUAGGAUUAGGUAGUUGGUGAGGUAAAGGCUCACCAAGCCGACGAUCCUUAGCUGGUCUGAGAGGAUGAUCAGCCACACUGGGACUGAGACACGGCCCAGACUCCUACGGGAGGCAGCAGUGGGGAAUAUUGGACAAUGGGCGAAAGCCUGAUCCAGCAAUGCCGCGUGAGUGAUGAAGGCCUUAGGGUUGUAAAGCUCUUUCAGUGGGGAAGAUAAUGACGGUACCCACAGAAGAAGCCCCGGCUAACUUCGUGCCAGCAGCCGCGGUAAU